UUUUUCCCUUUUUUUUUCAGCUUAUUCCCAUUUUUUGGGGGGCUAUUCCCAUUUUUCUGCGAAUUUUUCACUUUUUCUUUUGGCAUUUAUUCCUGUUUUUUUGAGGGUUAUUCCCAAUUUUCCGAGAAUUUUUUGGCAUUUAUUCACUUUUUUUGGGCAUUUAUUCCCAUUUUUCUGCUAAUUUUUCCCUUUUGUUUUUUUCAGUUUAUUCCCAUUUUUUGGGGGUUAUUCCCAUUUUUCUGCGAAUUUUUUGGCAUUUAUUCCCUUUUUUUUGAGGGUUAUUCCAAAUUUUCUCCUAAUUUUUCCCUUUUUUUUUUUUCUCAGUUUAUUCCCAUUUUUUGGGAGGUUAUUCCCAUUUCUCUGCCACUUUUUCCCUUUUUUUUGGCAUUUAUUCCCAUUUUUCGGCUGUUAUUCCCAAUUCUCCAAGGGUUUUUCCCACUUUUCCAGGAUUAUUCCCAAUUUUCUGGGUGUUAUUCCCCUUCCUGCACAAUUAUUCCCAGCAUUCCAAUGAUCAUUCCCAAUUUUCCGAGGGCUUUUCCAAUUUUUGCAGCAUCAUUCCCAUUUUUUCCGCAAAUUUUUCACUUUUUUUUGGGGGUUUUUCCCAUUUUUCUGAGAAUUAUCCCAAAUUUUCCAAGGGUUUAUUCCCAAUUUUCUGAAGGUUUUUCCCCAUUUUCCUGAGGAUAUUCCCAUUUUUUUCGGGAUUAUUCCCAAUUUUCCAGGGUAAUUCCCAUUUUUCUGGAUUAUUCCUGAUUUCCUGACGGUUUUUCCC
rnacentral:lncRNA from 1 species